CAGACCAUGAAGAGCUGCUGCU
rnacentral:miRNA from 1 species